GACGAACGCUGGCGGCGUGCUUAACACAUGCAAGUCGAACGGAAAGGCCCUGCUUUUGUGGGGUGCUCGAGUGGCGAACGGGUGAGUAACACGUGAGUAACCUGCCCUUGACUUUGGGAUAACUUCAGGAAACUGGGGCUAAUACCGGAUAGGAGCUCCUGCUGCAUGGUGGGGGUUGGAAAGUUUCGGCGGUUGGGGAUGGACUCGCGGCUUAUCAGCUUGUUGGUGGGGUAGUGGCUUACCAAGGCUUUGACGGGUAGCCGGCCUGAGAGGGUGACCGGCCACAUUGGGACUGGGAUGCGGCCCGGACUCCUACGGGAGGCAGCAGUGGGGAAUAGUGCACGAUGGGCGGAAUCCUGAUGCAGCAACGCCGCGUGCGGGAUGACGGCCUUCGGGUUGUAAACCGCUUUCGCCUGUGACGAAGCGUGAGUGACGGUAAUGGGUAAAGAAGCACCGGCUAACUACGUG
rnacentral:rRNA from 1 species